GCCGGGAGCAGGGAGCGGGGGGGGGCGCGGAGCCUCCCAGCCUUUGCUGUUUCCUUCCCAGCUGCUGGAGCCGGACCUUCCUGUAGAGCCCCCGAGCCGGGGGUCUGCGUCCUCCCAGGACUCCGGGAGCUGGCACCCAGGGCUUCGGGGCUGCCUUUCCGCGCGGCUCGCGUAGCAGACCCCUGUGUGGGUCGCGGGUGCGCCCAGGGAGACGGGCCGUGUCUGGUGCCCGAGAAGAGGGAGGAAGGUGCAAAGAGAUGCAGCACCGUGGGCAGUUCUCCCCCGGCCCCGGCUGGGCCAAGUGGUGAAAUGAAGCUCGGCCAGGUAAGGCCUGUGUGCCCUGUGUCAGGUAACCCCAAAGCAGCAGACGUCUCGCACUGAACGGGGGCUUACGGCGCUCCAGAGCUGGCACCUUUGCCCAAAGAGCAAGGCAGGAUGCCCUGCAGUGUGAUUCAUGCUCCCAGCAUUGCAAGAGCUUCUCCGGGUCCGUUUAUCUGAGCUCUGUCCGGGGCCCUGAUCCUGGGAAGACGCAUGCAUACGUGUGCAUGCCCUCAGCACCCGCCCCGUAGCGGGGGACAUCCUGCCGUGUCCAGCUCAGGGUGUGCUGGGCUCUAAGAUGCCAAGACAGAUGUCACCCUCUUGGCUAUGCUCUCUUGAAGCACUGUGGUAUCGAGGACCGGCCUCUCCCCAGGAUCCUGCUGCCUCUCAUAAAAGGUUCUGGGCCUGUAGCACUUAAAUGGCCAUUUUCAGUGCGGGCGGCCUCGUCACUGAGCUCCGCUAGCUGCGUCCCUCGUCCCCGCCUGCCCCCGUGGCCCCAGGAGAGGGGCUGGCACAUGCAUUGUAGAGAACAGCCUGUUUGCUGCUCUCCCGCCCACGUGCCGAGGCAGUGGCUGCAUUCGGCAGGCGUGACGGGCUCCUAUAAAUCACAGCGUUGCUUUUUCGAGGGGGAGUGGGCAGGCAGCUGGCAGCUGAAGGAGAAGGGCCCAGGGGUGGCAGCGCCGGCUUCAGACCCACGCUUGGCAGCUGCGGGUUCCCAGUCCACGAUGAUGAAUGUGAUGGCUGAGGAGUUCCCGCUCGUCUAUCCCAGGCGAGCAGAAUUAAUCUCUAAAGGCCACUAAGAGGUGGCUGCUUUCCCUGUCUGCACGCAGAGGAACCCAUGCAAGGCCUGAGACCUUCGUGGCCAGCACGGCAGGUGCCCGUGGGCCCGGCUGCAUUGCUGGCAGUGCACGUCGGCAGUCCUGUCAAACUGGAUCCCAUCUCGCUGGCUCAUGUCCCCGGACCAGUAAAGAAGCAAUGGCCCAUGCAGCCCUCGGGUGUCCCCGGAGAUUAGCAGGCAGCCGUCAACACGGAUUGCAAGCACCUUUGUUUCUCACGUUUAUUUGAAGUCGUGCAAAAUAUAUGGCAAUGAGGGCCACCGUUGUCUUGCUGCCAGACACAGCCGCGGGAGAGGUUGCGCUAUCACGGUCUGAUGCUGCCAAGAUCCUCCUUUGCCUCUUUCAGUGCGAGUGAAAGGGCCCGAGCCAGAAAUGUGGAGAAAGCCGAGGGGUGCGGAGGGACUGAAGCACUUCAAACGCCUUUGAAGCACUUUGGAGUUAGUAGUGCAGAUGCACGUGCUGGUUGACACGCUCUAAAAGCACCGGAGCAGGUGCAGUCGGGCAUGUGGCAUGUCCAGGACUGGGGCCACUUGGUGGCCGGGCUCCAUUUCCCUGCAGCCCUGGUGGUGGCAGCUUCUUUCGGCUCCUGGAAAACGAAGCAUGCAGCCCUGGCCCCAGCCCACCCCGCCUCGGGGGCUGAGAUCCCUGCAGCACCCGCUCCAGACCCGCCUGCCCCAGCCACGAUGAGUGGUGGUGGGGGCUGGGCAGAGGCUGCUGCUGGGCACUGGAAAAAAGUGGGACGUGGCAGCAGUGGGACCUGGCUUACUCCUCUACUUGGGCUCGGACCAAUUGCCAGGAAAUGAGGUGGUCAGAGAUGUUUGACUCCUUGCUGCCCCGUCGAUGGAUGGGAGCACUCCAGAGGCUGAGGACUGCGUGCAUCCCCUGAUGAAUUGCUACCUGGGUCUGCCCCGCAAGGAGCAGCGCAUGUACAGUGCACAGUGAAUAAAAUCCACCUGUCUGGUCACAUUCUGCUGAAUGAUCAAUGGAGUCUGGAGCGAGGAGGGGAAAGGAAUGAAAUGCUGACGGCAACUCCUAGCCCCAACUUUCACUUUACUGCUGUAAUUGAGUGCAGGCGUAUUAGCAUGGGUUCUGCCAGCAGGAAA